GUGGGGAAUCUUGCGCAAUGGGCGAAAGCCUGACGCAGCAACGCCGCGUGGGGGAUGAAGGCUCUCGGGUUGUAAACCCCUUUCAGCAGGGACGAAUCAAGACGGUACCUGCAGAAGAAGCCCCGGCUAACUACGUGCCAGCAGCCGCGGUAACACGUAGGGGGCAAGCGUUGUCCGGAUUUAUUGGGCGUAAAGAGCUCGUAGGUGGCUGAGUAAGUCGGAUGUCAAAUCCCCAGGCUCAACCUGGGAUCCCAUCCGAUACUGCUCUGGCUAGAGUCCGGUAGGGGAGCGUGGAAUUCCUGGUGUAGCGGUGAAAUGCGCAGAUAUCGGGAGGAACACCAGCGGCGAAGGCGGCGCUCUGGGCCGGUACUGACACUGAGGAGCGAAAGCGUGGGUAGCAAACAGGAUUAGAAACCCGUGUAGUCC
rnacentral:rRNA from 1 species